UACGUAGGGGGCAAGCGUUAUCCGGAUUUACUGGGUGUAAAGGGAGCGCAGACGGCAGUGUAAGUCUGAUGUGAAAGCCCGGGGCUCACCCCCGGGACGGCAUUGGAAACUGCAGGGCUGGAGUACUGGAGGGGUAAGCGGAAUUCCUGGUGUAGCGGUGAAAUGCGUAGAUAUCAGGAGGAACACCGGCGGCGAAGGCGGCUUACUGGACAUGUACUGACGUUGAGGCUCGAAAGCGUGGGGAGCAAAC
rnacentral:rRNA from 1 species